AGUCGAGCGGAAACGAGUUAUCUGAACCUUCGGGGAACGAUAACGGCGUCGAGCGGCGGACGGGUGAGUAAUGCCUGGGAAAUUGCCCUGAUGUGGGGGAUAACUAUUGGAAACGAUAGCUAAUACCGCAUAACGUCUACGGACCAAAGAGGGGGACCUUCGGGCCUCUCGCUUCAGGAUAUGCCCAGGUGGGAUUAGCUAGUUGGUGAGGUAAUGGCUCACCAAGGCGACGAUCCCUAGCUGGUCUGAGAGGAUGAUCAGCCACACUGGAACUGAGACACGGUCCAGACUCAUACGGGAGGCAGCAGUGGGGAAUAUUGCACAAUGGGCGCAAGCCUGAUGCAGCCAUGCCGCGUGUAUGAAGGAAGGCCUUCGGGUUGUAAAGUACUUUCAGUCGUGAGGAAAGGC
rnacentral:rRNA from 1 species